UUUUGAUGGAUAGGGGGUCGUGAGUAACCGGUCUGGCAAUGUUGUCGGGGGUUAGAUGUUGAACCUUCUUGUGUGUAAGUUUCCUAGCGUGGGUCGUAUAGGUACAUAUCCUCGGCAAUGAACUCAAAUCCAAUAGAUAUGUACCAAGCCAUAUAAUUACGACUUAGUUUUUCUUCAGUUGGCAUCAUAACUUCAGUUAAGACAUGGUCUUGGCAGUGCUUCCAUUUU
rnacentral:lncRNA from 1 species